UACGGGAGGCAGCAGUGGGGAAUAUUGGACAAUGGGCGCAAGCCUGAUCCAGCCAUGCCGCGUGUGUGAAGAAGGCCUUCGGGUUGUAAAGCACUUUUGUCCGGAAAGAAAAGCUUAGGGUUAAUAACCUUGAGUCAUGACGGUACCGGAAGAAUAAGCACCGGCUAACUUCGUGCCAGCAGCCGCGGUAAUACGAAGGGUGCAAGCGUUACUCGGAAUUACUGGGCGUAAAGCGUGCGUAGGUGGUUUGUUAAGUCUGAUGUGAAAGCCCUGGGCUCAACCUGGGAAUGGCAUUGGAAACUGGCUUACUAGAGUGCGGUAGAGGGGUGUGGAAUUCCCGGUGUAGCAGUGAAAUGCGUAGAUAUCGGGAGGAACAUCUGUGGCGAAGGCGACACCCUGGACCAGGCACUGACACUGAGGCACGAAAGCGUGGGGAGCAAAC
rnacentral:rRNA from 1 species